UACGGAGGGUGCAAGCGUUGUUCGGAAUUAUUGGGCGUAAAGCGCGCGCAGGCGGCCUGGAAAGUCUAUGGGUGAAAUGCCGGGGCUCAACCCCGUGCAUGCCCAGGAUACUCUCAGGCUGGAGACACGUAGAGGCAGGCGGAAUUUCGGGUGUAGCGGUGGAAUGCGUAGAUAUCCGAAAGAACACCAGUGGCGAAGGCGGCCUGCUGGGCGUGAUCUGACGCUGAGGCGCGAAAGCGUGGGGAGCAAACAGG
rnacentral:rRNA from 1 species